CAGUAGCCGCGGGAAAACAGAGGGUGCAAGCGUUAAUCGGAAUUACUGGGCGUAAAGCGCGCGUAGGUGGUUUGUUAAGUUGGAUGUGAAAUCCCCGGGCUCAACCUGGGAACUGCAUCCAAAACUGGCAAGCUAGAGUAUGGUAGAGGAUGGUGGAAUUUCCUGUGUAGCGGUGAAAUGCGUAGAUAUAGGAAGGAACACCAGUGGCGAAGGCGGCCACCUGGACUGAUACUGACACUGAGGUGCGAAAGCGUGGGGAGCAAACAGGAUUAGAUACCCGUGUAGUCCCUGUCUCUUAUAA
rnacentral:rRNA from 1 species